rnacentral:rRNA from 1 species
UACGGGGGGGCAAGCGUUGUUCGGAAUUACUGGGCGUAAAGGGCUCGUAGGUGGCGCUGUAAGUCGGGUGUGAAAUCUUGGAGCUUAACUCCGAAACUGCAUUCGAUACUGCCGUGCUUGAGGACUGGAGAGGAGACUGGAAUUUACGGUGUAGCGGUGAAAUGCGUAGAUAUCGUAAGGAAGACCAGUGGCGAAGGCGGGUCUCUGGACAGUUCCUGACGCUGAGGCACGAAGGCCAGGGGAGCAAACGGG